rnacentral:lncRNA from 10 species
AGACAAUUUGCUUUUGGAAAAGCGCUAAUCAACCACAUAUUCAUCUGGAAUGAAAAUGCCUCUCUAGCAAGACAUUGUGUGAUAAUGAAGUACAGGAGCUGUUGUUCAUCAUUUCCUUCCCUAAUUUGUUCCAAGAUUAGCUGACUUGUCACAGUCAUUUCCUCGUGGUCCACCACCCUGCCAUGACGGUUGAAGCUGACAAAGAAAUCAAUCAAGAAUCAAAUAUCCAACAAGAGUUUCUGGGCACCUAUCUACUAUUCUGGACUAGAGAAAAAAAAUAUACUAGGCAUUUUGUCACAAAAAGAGAUGCAAAAUAUAUGGGUAAAACAAACAGAAAAAUUCUGGAAGCAGGGUAUGUGAAGUUGAGUGAGCAACUGAACUCACUGUCAGACCAGUGCCAGAGCUGGACCCAUCAAAGAAACAUCAAAAGAGCAUAAAGGAGAAAACUUGGACAGAAGAAAACUUGAAAGUGUCCUUCAAAGAGCAGCUCAGUGGACGUGCCCUUCUCAAAACACUGGAUCUUUUCUUUUGAGAUGACCGGGGGGAGGGGUACAAAGUUGAAAAAGGGACCCCCCACAGAUACAUUUGCUACCACCUGUUGUGAAAUGUUGAACCUGCAAAAGAGGCACAGAUAGUGUCCUACUUUCUUAACUAGUAACAGCUGUUUCUGAAAAUAACAGAAACAGAAGCCAAUCCUUUAUGCAAGCUCACUUGUUGCAUGUAUUUCAGAAAUCUAAUACAAAUUUACAACAUCUCUAAUAACCGAGUUUUACACUUUAAAAAGAUCUUGAAAAUACAUACAGAAAAGAAGUCCUCCUUACAAGCAUUGUUUGGAGGGAAAAAUACAGUACAAAGUAAAGAGGGAGACACUUAUAGAUAGGUAACCAAGAUUAUGUAGCCCACUUCUUGCCAGCCCUCUUUUCACAGUUUUCUUAGUUCUAAUGUAAACAAUAUCCCAUAAUUAUUCAAUUCAACCUCCUUAGAAGCUUCUGUUGGUGAGUCCUGAACUCCAAAGGAAGCUUCACAGCACCCAAAGAUCCUAACCUUUCUGUGCCAAAACGCACUAUGUAUGUUUUUUCUGACCCUCCUAAACUAUACCCUGUCCCAUCUCAACAAUUGGCUACCCUAGCCAACACUUCUUAUCCUUGCCUAUCACUCUGCUGGUUUAGGUACUUAGCUUAACUUCUAAUAUCGGAUCCAUCAUUGUUUUGUCAAACAAGGUAACUUUUCAACACAUCUUUGAGACACUCCUUUGCACCCUCUCUCAUUCUCAGGAUAGCAUCAUUGACUGGACUUGCUUCAUUACUAUGGCUUUGCAGAAUGGAUCAACCUCAGGUAGCCCUAUUACAAAAGGUACAAUACUAGUUCUUCAGCACUAACAUUUUAAUUUCAUUUAAAGUCUGAAACUGCCAUUGCAAAAUUAUAAUGGAGACAGUGAAAGAGAUCUGACUAACCAACUCCAUCUUGCUUUAAUCUCCAAGCUGUGUUUGUUCAUUCAGUUGCUUCUUGUUUAGUUAGGCCAAACUAACUUUGGGAGGAACUUAGUUUAUAGUUUAAAAGAAAGAUGAUAAGCGCUCUUUCCCGUAACAAACCUCCUUCUUGCCUGGGGACUAGAUUGCCUUUGUAGGACUAACAAAUUAGCCACAAGAUUAGAAAUUAUGGUUUAGGAGUCAUGCAGCUGGAGCUACAAGAUUCUGACCCUCCCUAAAUUGCUCCUGGGGAUAACAUCACUAUUGUAAAACCUAAGACCUAUGCUUGAGAUGUUUUGCAGACCCCACACUUGAUGGAUCAGCUGUCACUACACAGAGCGAUAAACUGGCUCAUCUGGUCUUGUGGUCCUCACGCAGGAACUGACUCAGCUCAAGAGAAAAGCUUCAACUCCCUAUGAUUUCAUCUUUGACCCGACCAACCAGAGCUCCUGACUCACCCACCCACUACCCACCAAAUUAUCCUUAAGAACUCUGAUCCCUGAAUGCUCGGGAAAUUCAUUUGAGUAAAAAUAAAACUCCAGUCUCCUGUACAGCCAGCUCUGUGUAAAUUACUCUUUCUCUGUUGUAAUUCCCGUCUUGAUAAAUUGGCUCAGUCUAGUCAGUGAGCAAGGUGACAAGUCCAAGAGAAAAAAAUAUUUUUUGAAAUACACAUAUGUGAGUGCAUGUACACAUUCCUUGUUCUCAAAACUUACUGUAACAGAACUCAAUGUUAACGUCAUUCCUCGCUAAGUUACAAAGUUAAGAAUAACACAGUGGUGUGAAUUUUUUAAUCAAAGAAGUACAAGGUAUUUUUAGAUUGUUUCUAAUGACAGAGUUUUACUGAUGUUCUUGUUUCCAUGCAUCUCCACAUAUCUCCACAACUGGAAAUUCCACUAGCAGUAUUCUUUCAUGUAUUCCUUUCUUCAUUCAUUCACUAACUACUUUUUGGAAGGGUACCAUGUGCGAGACACUGUUCUUGAUACAGAGAUGAACAAAAAAGAAAAAAUCUUUGCCAUAAUGGACCUUGCAUUCAAGUGUGGGGAGACAAGAACAUGUAAACCAAUAAUACUUUCAAAUAGUCUGAUAUGAAGAAUAUGCAACGCAGUAAAGAGAUACAAAGAGAGAGGGAGCUAUGUUAGAGAGGCUGGCCAAGUAAGGAUUUGCUAAAUUUUCACAUUUGAAAGGAAACCUAAAUGAUGUUUAUUAUCACGGGGAUCUUGAGGAUAAGUACUGAUGGCACAGGAAGCAGAAGGUACAAAUCCCUGAGGCGGCAAUUCAAGGAAUAGAAAGGCCAGGUGGCUGGAACACAGUAAACUAUAACAGAUUGUCUCCAUUAAAUGCAAAGAAAUUUAACUGAAAACAUAGUAAACCCUUCAUAUAUUUCCUAAGAAAUGCUGCACCUGACAGGGAGAAAAUAGAAGUUUUAGAUGUGAAUGAUGGGUAUUCUGAUAGACUCAAUAGUUAAGAGACACUCUCUCUCACAUCAGUCUGGCAGAAAAUAUGAUUCAAAUGAGUACAGUAGGGAAUUUAUAAAUUAUUACAUGUCAUGACCUUUGGAGUCUGAGGUAGAUUAAAACCACAAGAAUUGAC